rnacentral:lncRNA from 1 species
ACUAUUUUAAAAGAUGUUAUACAAACACAAAAACUUAAUCAAAUGUUUUAUUAUUCUUUACCUAAUAUUAAUGUUGGUAGGCGUAGUCAUAGUGACAGUCAUAGUGAUAGUGAUAGUGAUAGUAACAGUGCUGGUAUCAAUAGUGCUAAACACACGAUGGACCAGCUGUUAAGACAAAAAAAAUAUAGUGUUAAUAUUAUUUUUUGUGAUAUUUGGGAUUAUAACAAAAUAGAUGACACUAUAAUAUACCCAGAAACAAUCAAACUGUGUAAUCAUACUUUUUUUAAAUAUUAUAAAAAUUAUAACAAAUCAAAGAACAUUACGUUUUUACCUUUAUACGGCUUAUGUACUAUGAAGGUAAAUUUGAAAAAACUAGAAAAACGGUUUUUACCUGUUUAUGACAAACCUAAUAACGCUGUUAGUGUUUCUGGAGACAUUAAUGAAACUACUGUUAAUACGAACCUUUCCACUAACAUUAACAACAAUUCUGACAACUUUUCUUCAAGUACUGAACAUUUCAUUUAUAUAACAUUAACUAUCAUACAAGCAAUUGUUCUAUUAUUAUUUAACGAAAAAAAUGAAUAUAACAUAGAAGAAAUAACAAACAAAACUGGACUAUCACAUGAUAAUAUAUUACGUUAUUUAAAAACAUUAUAUUUUAUGGAAGGAAAUAAAUUAUUAAUUUAUGACGAAUGUAGUAAAACUUUUAAGCUAAAUGGUUUAUUUCGUUCGAAUAAAAAACAUCUUACUGUUGAUUAUGCUGAUACAAACUAUAAAAUGAAUGCAUCCGUAGAUGCAUUAAAUCAAUAUGACUCAGAAUAUGAAGACAAAAGUCUUCAUAUCGAUGCAUCUAUUGUUAGGUUUUUAAAAACGUCGAAAAAAGCAUCAGAAAAAGAUAUAUAUACACAUGUUAAAAAUACAUUGAAUGUUAUAUCGGACGAACAAAUUAAAGGCAGAAUCGAUUCGUUAGUUACCAGGGAAUUCAUAUUUUUUCACAAUGAUAAUUAUUGUUAUGAACUUUAAAAAUCUAUGUACACGCAUGUGCGUGUAUAUAUAUAACGUACACAUAUAUUAAUAAACCCGUUAAACAUUUAUCA